rnacentral:lncRNA from 1 species
CGUAUUCUAUUAGUGAAAAUUAUCAGAAAAGGAGAGAGAGCUGUAGUAUUUACAAAAAUAAAUUAAAUCUAAAAUUUUAAAAACAUUAACAAAAAUCUAUAUUGGAAAACUUAACAGAACCCAAUUAUCUUUUUUUCUUUAACGAAACUCAUUUUAUUUGGUAUCAACUUUUCAAGAGUUCAAGAUAAGACAAAAUGGAUUGGUUCACAGUAUAUACAUCUUCACGUAUGAUUUAUGCUGAUAGUUAAAUUUUCGGAGAAGCGC